UAAGCAAGGAGGUGGAUCUCUGCAAAC
rnacentral:piRNA from 1 species